UGAACUUGAGAGUUUGAUCCUGGCUCAGAUUGAACGCUGGCGGAAUGCUUAACACAUGCUAGUCGAACGAUCAACCUUAGCUUGCUAAGGAGUGGCGGACGGGCGAGUACUAAUCUCGGACGUGCCUUGUCGUGGGGGACAACUAGUCGAAAGAUCAGCUAAUACCGCAUACGCCUGAGGGGGAAAGCGGGGGAUCUUCGGACCAACGUUAAUAAGAGCGGCCGAUGUCUGAUNAGCUAGUUGGUGGGGUAAUGGCCUACCAAGGCGACGAUCAGUAGCURGUCUGAGAGGACGACCAGCCACACUGGAACURAGACACGGUCCAGACUCURCGGGAGGCAGCAGUGGGGAAUUUUGGACAAUGGGCGCAAGCCUGAUCCAGCCVUUCCGCGUGAGUGAAGAAGGCUUCGGGUUGUAAAGCUVUUUCGCRAGGGAAGAAAACUUACAUUCUAAUAAAGUGUGAGGCUGACGGUACCUAGAUAAGAAGCACCGGCUAACUUCGUGCCAGCAGCCGCAAUAAUACGAAGGGUGCAAGCGUAAAUCGGAAUUACUGGGCGUAAAGCGUCGCAGGCGGUUUAGUAAGUCAGAUGUGAAAUCCCCGAGCUCAACUHGGGUACUGCGUUUGAAACUACAAAGCUUGAAUAUGUCAGAGGGGGGUCGAAUUCCACGUGUAGAGUGAAAUGCGUGGAGAUGUGGAGGAAUACCAGUGGCGAAGGCGGCCCCUGGGAUAAUAUUGACGCUGAGGUGCGNAAGCGUGGGGAGCAAACAGGAUUAGAUACCCUNGUAGUCCACGCCCUNAACGAUGUCUACUAGUUGUUGGUGGAGUAAAAUCCAUGAGUAACGCACGUAACGCGUGAAGUAGACCGCCUGGGGAGUACGGUCGCAAGAUUAAAACUCAAAGGAAUUGACGGGGGCUCGCACAGAGCGGUGGAUUAGUGGUGAUUGAUUCGAUGCAACGCGAAAAACCUUACCUGGCCUUGACAUGCCACUAACGAAGCAGAGAUGCAUUAGGUGCCGUAAGGGAAAGUGGACACAGGUGCUGCAUGGCUGUCGUCAGCUCGUGUCGUGAGAUGUUGGGUUAAGCCAGCAACGAGCGCAACCAAAGCCAUAAAUAUAGCCAUCAUUAGUAGGGCACUAUUAAUGGACUGCCGGUGACAAACCGGAGGAAGGUAAGGGAUGACGUCGUAAGUCCUCAUGCCCUAAUGGAGGCAGGGCUUCACACGUAAUACAAUGGUCGGUACAGAGAGUUGCCAACCGCCGAGGGGGAAGCUAAUCUCAGAAAGCCNAUCGUAGUCCGGAUUGUACUCUGCAACUCGAGAGCAUGAAGUCGGAAUCGCUAGUAAUCGCGGAUCAGCAUGUCGCGGUGAAUACGUUCCCGGGCCUAGUACACACCGCCCGUCACACCAUGGGAGUVGGUAUUACCAGAAGUAGUUAGUCUAACCGUAAGGGGGAVAUUACCACGGUAGUAUUCAUGACUGGGGUNAAGURANNACAAGGUAGCCGU
rnacentral:rRNA from 1 species